rnacentral:rRNA from 1 species
UACGUAGGGUGCAAGCGUUGUCCGGAAUUAUUGGGCGUAAAGAGCUCGUAGGUGGCCUGUCGCGUCGGCUGUGAAAACUCGGGGCUCAACUCCGAGCUUGCAGUCGAUACGGGCAGGCUAGAGUUCGGCAGGGGAGACUGGAAUUCCUGGUGUAGCGGUGAAAUGCGCAGAUAUCAGGAGGAACACCGGUGGCGAAGGCGGGUCUCUGGGCCGAUACUGACGCUGAGGAGCGAAAGCGUGGGUAGCAAACAGG